GCGCUUCCUCCUGUUGCAGGAGCAUGAAACACGUCCAUGGGCCCUGCAGGGCUGUGUGGAGAGGGCAGCACGGAAAGGCUGAGGAGGAAACUCGGAGAGAAGGUACGAAAGAUGAGGUUCUGAAUGACAUAAAGUUCUUGUCAUCUAACUGCCACCUCUAGCUUCCAGUUUGCUAGUAAUGAAAACAAAUGAACUAGCAAACAAUCCCUCCGGUGAAGAGAGGUGUGAAACCACGGAAGGAAAGGGGCAGAACACAGCUCAGAGAAGAGCAGGUACCAGAGUCUUCCUCCUCUCCUUCUCACUGUUUCCUUCGGCACAGUGACAGCAGUGGGACCUGCCCUUUGAGGACCAGGUUCUGAAACUCAGUAGUUAACAAAUAUCACCUACUUUCUGCCCCAGAAGAUGCUCCAAAUUGCACACAAAGGCAACAAGAAGACACUCAAGUUGGAACCAGUGCUUUUACCAAUUGUCAAGACGCUCUGAACGUUUCCAGCACGUCCUGCACUGCUAACUUGUGAGCACCUCGCUGCAUGUGCUGUUGGCUGGGAUGUUACACUCCUAGUAUCUAGACCGAUCGGCAGAGCAUUCUGCCAAAUUAUUUAUUUUGCCUGCGUUUUGCUUGUCUCUCCUCCCCAGCGAGAUCACAGAUAAAGUAUAUUUACUGGUUGCUGCUGCCCCGGCCGGCACAGGAGCAGGGCUGGAGUGAAAGCAGCUGUUUCUGAGCAGUGUGCGUGGCUUGUGCUCAUUCUCAAUUCCCAGCGAGCAGGAUCCUUCAGCGGUGAUGGAGUAGCUUUGAGUUUCAGUCUAUCUGUCACUGCUCGACUGUUUUACUGUGCACACAAUGCACUGAUGGGCGACAUCACUCAACUGCAACAAGUCCAGCUACAAAAGCAAGUAGCAGCAAUUUGUAGCCUCAAUGCAGCCAUUUAAUCAUUCCCAACACUUCCCCGGUUGCCAUUCUAGAUAAACUAACCUGAGAAUUAAGAGCAAAUAUUUGACUUCCCCCCUCCCCCCCCCAUAAUUUUACGCAGUCCUGUAUGGUACUUAACAGGAGACCUUUGCCCUUUAGUUAAAAGCUGUGACCAGGAAAUCCCACCUCCUCUUAAUGAGCUUUUUUGUUCAGCUUACAGGGAGGGAUUUGCACUCCACUCUUGCACUACAAAUGCUUUGUCUGCUUGGCUUUUUUAUUCAACUGAUGAAUAAAAAAAGCAAACACCAAACUUUACACAUGUUUCAGUCUCCAUUAAGGCAACAAAGAGCUCCAAAUGCAUGCCCUAGCAACAGCAACAAUUUUUUUUUUAAAAGAGAAGAAAGAAAACGUGGUCAUUUAGGCUGUGGUGCUUUCCAUAGCUGUUCUUAAUGUUUCUGUCAAAAAAGCAAUACGCUUUUGAAUAUCAAAAUACAUACCUGUAGGUAAAAGGACAGACAGCGGUUUGGGAAUCAAUAUUAUUGCUCUUUCUACUG